UUCUAUUUGUCCCCAUUGGAGGUUCUUGGGUUUGGGAUUAUGCUUUCACUGUCCAUGUCCUACAUAUAUGUAUAUGCUGCAUAGGUAAGACAUCGCAAAAAUAGACUCUGUAUCAACAACACAUUAUCAUUCAAGUAUAGGCAUGUACAGCACAUUUCAGGAAGGUGUGUGUGUGUGUAUAUAUAUAUAUAUAGAUAUAUAUAUAUAUAUAUACAGUAUCUCACAAAAGUGAGUACACCGCUCACAUUUUUUAAAAUAUUUUAUUAUAUCUUUUCAUGUGUCAACGCUAAAGAAAUGACACUCUGCUACAAUGUAAUGUAGUAAGAGUACAGCCUGUAUAACAGUGUAAAUUUGCUGUCCCAUCAAAAUAACUCAACACACAGCCAUUAAUGUCUAAACCGUUGACAACAAAAGUGAGUACACCCCUAAGUGGAAAUGUCCAAAUUGGGCCAAAUUAGCCAUUUUCCCUCCCCGGUGUCAUGUGACUCGUUAUUGUUACAAGGUCUCUGGUGUGAAUGGGGGGCAGGUGUGUUAAAUUUGGUGUUAUCGCUCUCACAGUCUCUCAUACUGGUCACUGGAAGUUCAACAUUGCACCUCAUGGCAAAGAACUCUCUGAGGAUCUGAAAAAAAGAAUUGUUGCUCUACAUAAAGAUAGUCUAGGCUAUAAGAAGAUUGCCAAGAACCUGAAACUGAACUGCAGCACAGUGUGCAAGACCAUACAGCGGUUUAACAGGACAGGUUACACUCAGAACAGGCCUCGCCAUGGUCAACCAAAGAAGUUUAGUGCAUGUGCUCAGUGUCAUAUACAGAGGUUGUCUUUGGGAAAUAGACGUAUGAGUGCUGCCAGCAUUUCUGCAAAGGUUGAAUGGGUGGGAGGGUCAGUCUGUCAGACCAUAUGCCACACACUGCAUCAAAUUGGUCUGCAUGGCUGUCAUCCCAGAAGGAUGCCUCUUCUAAAGAUGAUGCACAAGAAAGUCCGCAAUCAGUUUGCUGAAGACAAGCAGACUAAUAACAUGGAUUACUGGAACCAUGUCCUGUGGUCCGAUGAGACCAAGAUAAACUUAUUUGGUUCAGAUGGUGUCAAGCGUGUGUGGCGGCAACCAGGUGAGGAGUACAAACACAAGUGUGUCUUGUCUACAGUCAAGCAUGGUGGUGGGAGUUGCAUGGUCAGGGCCUGAAUGAGUGCUGCUGGCACUGGGGAGCUACAGUUCAUUGAGGGAACCAUGAAUGCCAACAUGUACUGUGACAUACUGAAGCAGAGCAUGAUCCCCUCCUUUGGAGACUGGGCCACAGGGCAGUAUUCCAACAUGAUAACGACCCCAAACACACCUCCAAGACGACCACUGCCUUGCUAAAGAAGCUAAAGGUAAAGGUGAUGGACUGCCCAAGCAUGUAUCCAGACCUAAACCCUAUUGAGCAUCUGUGGGGCAUCCUCAAACGGAAGGUGGGGGAGUGCAAGGUCUCUAACAUCCACCAGCUCUGUGAUGUCAUCAUGGAGUGGAAGAGGACUCCAGUGGCAACCUGUGAAGCUUUGGUGAACACCAUGGCCAUGAAUGAGAUACUGUUUUGUGAGUGAUGUACUCACUUUUGUGAGAUACUGUGUGUAUAUAUAUAUGUCCUAUACACUGAUCAACCACAACAUUAAAACCACCUGUCUAAUAUCAUGUGUCCCCCCUCCCCCUUGUGCUACCAAAACAGCUCUGUUGCAUAGAGGCAUUGACUCUACAAGACUUCUGAAUGUGUCAUGUGGAAUAGCACCAAGACAUUAGCACCAGGUUGCAAGGUGGUGCCUCCAUGGAUCUGAUUUGUUGUUCCAACACAUCCCACAGAUACUCAAUCAGACUGAUAUCUGGGGAAUUUGAACUUUCUGUCAUGUUCCCCAAACCAUUCCGGAACAAUUUUUGCAGUGUGGAAGGGUGCAUUAUCAUACUGAAAGAGGCCACUGCCAUCAGGGAACAUCAUUGCCAUGCAGUGGUGUAUGUGGACUGCAACAAUCUCUAGGUAGGUGGUAAGUGUCGAAGUAAGCUCUGCAGCCCUAUGCACAGCAAACUGUGAUGCACUGUGUAUUCUAACACCUUUCAUGGCCACGAUUAGGUUUUUCAGUAUUCUACAGUAGCUCUUCUGUAUGAUUGGAUCUGACCAGUUGUCCUUCCUUGCACUACUUUUGAUAACCACUGAAACACCCCACAAGCCUUGCUGAUUUGAAGAUACUUUGACCCAGCCUUCACUUUUUGGCCCUUGUCAACAUCACUUCUUUUUGCUUGCCCAUUUUUUCCCAACACAUGAUAAUCAAGAGUUGACUGUUCACUUGCCGACUAAUAUAUCCCAGGCCUUGACAGGUGCCAUUGUAACAUUAUAAUUAAUGUCACUCACUUCAUCUGUCAGUGGUUUUAAUGUAUUGGCUGAUCAGUGUAUAGGUAUAUAGUUAUCUAUAUUUGGAUUAUCUUAGCAGUGAUACAUUAUUAUUAUUAUUAUUAUUAUUGGUAUUCAUAUAGUGCCAACUUAUUCUUCAGCUCUUUACAAUAGUGUGAAAGGGGGAAUUUAAAAACAAGUGAGAUUUACAAAAUUAUACAGAAACAAUUGGUAGAUGAGGCAUCCCAGCCAAUUAGUCAUUCAUUGGCUCUCAGUCAUUGCUCUUGGAGCCAAUCAUUGUCUUGAAAAGUCUCAACUUUUAAAACUGUAAUCUCUGAAGAAAAAUGUAUUGGUUUUAAAACUGUAAUUCACUUCUUGAAAUAUUGUCAUUGCUCUAUAACUUUCAAAAUGAAUUGAAAUCCUAGAUAUAUAAGGCAGUUUCACAAUCAAGACUAAUACGUGAAUAUGUUUUAGUUAUUUUUCUUUAGUUCCAUUAGUUGCAUAGAAUCCAUUAUUAUGAGCAAUUCAUACUUACUGUUGUGUUAGGUAUACACAUGGAGUAUCAGAAGAAUGUUCUACCUGUCCUUUAAAACAAUAUAUAAUUUGCAUGGGUGCUUUUAUAAAGUUAUCAUUAAACUAUAAUGGAAGGAACACAUUGAAAAAGUGCACAGAAAACAUGGUCUAUGAGACAUGGAAUCUUGGUCACAAGAGGACUUAAACAGCUGUCAAGAGGUGUCUAUUUGUUUAAAAGAAAUAUCUAUGUUUACUUGCUUUGAGAAGCCAGUCUGUUCCACAAAUUAUGUGUACCAAUUGUGUUGCUGUGACCCAGGUACUUAUAUCAGCAUUACACAUUAUUCAGCUGUAUCUGCACAAGAAGAGAUGUAGAUGAAAGGAUUGAUAUAUAACCAACCUUCAGUGGAUAUCACAGAGAUGAACUCUUAAGAGCUCAGAAGUAGAAGGGAUUGUUUUUUUUUCUUAAAUAAACCUUUACAAUAGUUUUUUUUCCUUUUUAAUAAUUCACAGGGUCUCUGGCAUUCUGCACAUCAGUAGCUCUGAUGUUUGCAAUUGUAUUUCAUAUUCAAUGUUUUUUUUUUGCUUUUAUUAGACUAUUGGAAUGGUAUAAAAUGUGUGAUUGGUAUAUUUGACAGGAAAGACAAACCUUGUACAUACGUGUUCUAGUCAGGCCUGGCCUUAGUCCCUUAGACACCCUGUGCGAAAAAUGUUCAUAGCACCCCUCCCUGAUCCCAUCCACUCAUCCAUGUAUAGUGUUAGUGGGACUUUAUUAAAUAAAUAAUUAUUAAAGAACCAAAAAAAUAUAUAUUCAUUGCUCUUUCCCUGUUGUUACCUUGCAGGGAGUGGGGCAUGCUGAUCUUUGGCAGUUCAGCUGGGAAUCUGGUCUGCGCCUCCACCACUGUGUGUAAUAUUUGUUAUGGAUGUAUUGACUGUUUGUGAUAUAUGUUUGUAUUGACUGUGUGUGAUAUUUGUGAUGGGUAUUUAAUUCAUAUAAAUAAAUGCGACCCACAGUCAGAUGCACAGUUAUCCGCAUAUACUGUCAAAAACAGUCACAUGCACACAGUCCCAGGCACAUAGUCACUCGCACACAGUCACAAGCAGACAGUUACGCACACACACAGGCAGUCACACAUUCAUUACAGGCAUUCCUACACACAGUCAUACACAGUUACAGUCAGUUACACACAGUCAGAGGCAGACAGUCACACACACACACACACACACACACACACACACACACACUUACAGGCAGACAGUAGCAUGCACAGUUUCAGGCAGUCACACACACACACACACACACACUCGCAGAGCAGGUACCUUUUUCCAUCAUGUAGUACUGAAUGAGGAGCACAACCAACUAAAAUACAAAGCACAUUAUUGUACAGGUACAAACGUAACAGGUAUCACCAAUGUCCAAAAUAUAGAUUAAAGUAUAAAUAUAGUCAUACAUAUACAGGGCCAGACUGGGGAAGAAAUUGGCCUGGGCAUUUUUUUAUCACAGCUGCCCACUAAGAAGGGGGCGGGGCAGAGAGGGUGUGUUUUGUCAUCACCUAUGACAAACACACCCCCUCUCAAAGUGAGCAUGUUGGUUCAAUGCUCUUCCAGGGCAGACCAUGCACAGAGCUCUGCUGAAGAGCUCUAGCAUGAGAAAAAGGCCCUGUAUUUGUUCUGCACAGUGCGAGCAAAUUUAAUAACAUGCUUGCAAUGUGUUUCCUUGCAACUUGUCUCUGGUGUCUCUAUAAACGGAUACCAGGAGACAAAAGGGCCAGGAAAGAGUAUUGUGCAUGUGUUUGGAGCCUACUUGUAGGAUUGUGUGUGUGUAGAGUGAGCUUAUUGUGGUGUGGUAUUGUGUAAUAAGGUCGGUUUUAGUCAUGUUGUGUUUGUUAUGUAAUGCAUAUGUGGCUAGGGGCUGUAGAGAAUGUGUGCAUAGGGGAUGUAGCAAGUAGCAAGUGUGUGCAUACCUGCUAUAGUGUGUGUGUGUGUUUGUUUGUGUGAAUAGGUGAUGUAGUGUUUGUAGGGGUUGUAGAGAGUGUGUGUUUAGGGGUGUAGUAUGUGUUUGCUUACAAGGAAUCUAGUGUGUGUAUAGGGGGUCCAAAGUGUGUAUGUUAGGAAUGUAGUGUGUGUAGGUGGUGCAGUGUGUGUAUAGUAGUCUAGAGUGUGCUUGAAGGACUCAAAAUGUGUAUAGGAGAUCUAGUAAGUGUGUGUAUAUAACUGAUUCAGAUUGUAUAUAGGGAUCUAGUGUGUGUAUGUGUGUAGAUGAUUCAGAGUUGGGUGAAGGAUCUAGUUUGUGUCUGGAAUGUAAUGUGUUUAGGGGUGCAGCCUGUGUCUGAGGGGUGCUGUAGUAUAUAUAUAUAUAUAUAUAUAUAUAUAUAUAUAUAUAUAAUAUAACUAUGUUUGGAAGUAUUGUGUGUGUGGUGCAGCGUGUUGGGGGAGGUUAUGUGUGUAUGUGAAGGGUGCAUUGGGUGUGUGUGAGGGGUGUAGUGUGUAUGUGUGAUGGAUGCUGUGUGUAAGGUAUGCUGUGUGUGAUGAGGGUGAUGUGGGUGAUGAGAGUGCUGUGGGUGAUGUGUGUGAGGGUGCUGUGGGUGACUAUUAGAAGGGAUUGUGUGUUGGGGGAGUAAAAAACAAAGAAACAAAACAAAAAAAAAUAAGCAGGCAUUAUAUCCCCCCAGGGCCGGCCUUAGGCAAUUAGGCGCCCUGUGCAAAAAGUCUUCACGGCGCCCCCCCCCACCUCCCACCAAGUUGCCUGAAUACAGUAACACACACAGGCACCGGGGACGUGUGUAUCACGAGGCAAACAAGGCAUCUGCCUUGGGCGCCACUUUGCAGGGGGCGGCAAAAAAAAGCAUCCCUCCAAACCCCCAGGCAGAUCCCUUGCUUGCCUCGCAUCCUGGGGGGCUCAAGAGCUGACCGGCUGGCCACUUUUGAGCCCCCCCAAGGCUGGCAGCGGGCAGCGAAGGAGCAUACUCACCUGAGCUCUUCCUGCUCAGCUUCCUCUGCGCCGCUUAAUGAAGCCGGGAGCCAGAAUAUGACGUCAGUCCGGCUCCCGGCAUCACUAAGCGCUGCUUACUCAGCCUGUGCGCCCCCUGCCUGCCUGCCCAGCAGCCACACUGGACUGCUGGUAAGAAAUCCACUCCAGCUUUCCCAGGGAGGCUGGGUGGAUUUAAAAUAAAUGUAAAAAAUAUUAGUUUGUGAGUGUUAGUGGAAAUGUCUGUGUGUGUGUCUGUGAGUGUUUAUUUUGAAGUGAAUGUGUGUGUGUGUGUGUGUGUCUGUAAGUGUGUAAUUGUGUGUGUCUGUAAGUGUGUAAUUGUGUGUGUCUGUGAGUGAAUGUGUGUGUUGGUCAGUGAGUGUAUGUGUCAGUCAGUGAGUGUAUGUGUCAGUCAGUGAGUGUGUAUGUGUCAGUCAGUGAGUGUGUAUGUGUCAGUCAUGUGUCGUCAGUGAGUGUGUAUGUGUCGUCAGUGAGUGUCAGUGAUGUGUCGGUCAGUGAGUGUGUGUCAGUGAGUGUGUAGGUCAGUGAGUGUGUAUGUGUCGGUCAGUGAGUGUGUGUCGGUCAGUGAGUGUGUGUCAGUCAGUGUGUAUGUGUCGGUCAGUGGAGUCGUGCAUCUUUCAGUGAGUGCUUGCGUCUGUCAGUGAGAGUGUGCAUCUGUCAGUGUGUGUCCAAGUAAUAGUUUUUUUUAAAUAGACCCGGGUGGAGAAUAAUUAAUCCUCCAGCCAGGUACCUCUUUUAGCUCCCCUGCACUCCGGCCAUGAGUGAGCUGUGUCGGCCACAGGGCGCCCCCUGUUCCAUGGCGCCCUGUGCGGUCGCACAGCUCGCACACCCCUAAGGCCGGCCCUGUAUCCCCCCCCCCUUCGUACCUUUAGACUGAGGGGGGGGGGGACAUGCACGGUGGUACCUGGGUGGGGGACAGGCACUCUCACACUAUCCCUGGUGGUCCUAGUGUUGAGUGAACUCUAGCUAGAGUUCACUCUCGCAAGAUCGGGGGCGUUGCCAUGGCAACACUCUGGAUCUCGCUAGAGGAGCUGCAAGAUAGAACUCCGCCGGGUCCUCCUCUCCCUCCCCAGCCACAUGUCUAUGCAUGAUCUUUGAUCUCCCCCAACGGCCCAUCAUGGAAAACAGCGGGGCCGACGCUCAAAUAGUGCCGGCCCUGCAUGGACCGGCAGGGGAGAUCCUGUGACCUCCCCUGCCGGCCUCGGCCCCUGGCCGCUGCAGCCCACCGGGCAUUUGCCCGGUUUGCCCGAUGGCCAGUCCUGGCCUGUACAUAAACAAUCAAUAAUAAAUAUGAGAUAGGAGUGGUGAUGUUGGACUAGCCAACGUCAGAACCCCAAAGUAGGUUACAAGAGGUAGCACAGGGGCUUAACCCCACAACAAGUAAAUAACUACCAACUGAAAGAAUGGGAUAGAAAAACUACUCACUCAAAAGUGAAUGGGAUUCAAUCUCACUCUAAAAGAUUACCUCCUAAAGUAAACGUAACAAAGAAAAUGGUAAUAACCUUUAUUAAACUAAAAAUAAGCAAAAAAAUAAUCAAUAGGUAUAGAACCUACCCUAAAUAGAAACACCAUAGAAACUGUGUUAGUGAAAAUCACAUAAGAGUGAAGAGUUAAAAACCUGGGAAAAUGCUCCUUAGUCCCAUAGAGAAAUAUAUAUAUAUAAUGUAUGUGCACAUACAUGUAAAGUCCACUAAAAUAAAUAAUAGUAAGGCCUCUGAAGAGGACAAGGUUAGACUAUAGGGACAUACAAUAUGUGGACCAAUAUACAAGAGAAAAGGAGCAUAAGUACAGACUGCUCCGUACAAAAAAUGAAAGAUAAAAAAAAAAAAAAAGUCGCGCUAGAAUGGUAAAGUCCGUAAGUAAUAUAUAUAGCUGGGAUCGUGGUGCCUAGCAGUAGUAGCAAUGCCAGUAUAGUACUGGAGUUAAAACUGUGGUCAUUAUAAAUAGUGCCUCAAAGGAGUAUAUCGAGAUAGCUCACUAGUGGAAGGUAAAUUCACGAAGGAGCACAAACGGGUGUUAAACUAUGUAGCCGACCCUGCUAUACAGACUCUCUGGGAGGCUAUAUGUCUCGUUUGACAGUAUAAACUAUAGGGAAUAUCCAAUAAUGAUAUAUCCCCUAAUGUGAGACUUAAAGACACAUAGGUAUAUAACAGCAGUACCUUAAACCAUAAAAGCCCCCUCCGAAAUUAGUAACUUGAGAGGAAAGAAGACAAUAUCCUAGAAAACCCUGGGCUUACUAUCUAGCCCACAGGCAGGCCAUAGAUACUAAACUGCUGCUUCAAGGCAGCCUAGCAAGUCCCUAUAAACUUAUAUAAGCGCAUAGUCGGAAAAAAUAAAUAAUGAAACGGGCAUCCGUCAUACCCAGGUAAAAAUAAAAAAGAAAUGCUUAGUUAAAGUAAAUGCAUCGGCAAAAUGCUCGACGCGUGUUUCAGCGUUUUCAUACACCUUUGUCAAGAGCUGGAAGUUAACUGAGCUAGGAGCUGAUUAUAAAGCAGUCUCCGCACCCCCCGUAGAUCAUCAGAAGCCAAUCCGUGAAUACUGAUCAUCAGUGAGUUAAUACUAGGAAUACUAGAAUGGGGUAAGGAUUUUUAUGAAAGGUGUAUAUUGAAUGUUGCCAAAAGAGUGGGCACUAUUGGAUUACCCACUAGUACACCUCAAAACCUGGAAAUCCCUAUACAGUACCAAGACAUUAAAUAAGUAUUCAGCAAAACUCAGUCGAAUACUCUAACUCCUCACGGACCUUAUGACUGUUCCAUUAAUUUACUACCCGGCGCUAUGCCACCUAAGCGAGCAGUCUAUGCUCUGUCACCUCAGGAGAGUAGAGUAAUGGAGGAAUAUAUUAACCCCUUAAGGACUGGACUGUUUUUGCGAUGUUGUACAUUUGCGAUCAGGAAUAUUUUUACACUUUUGUGGUGUUUGUGUUUGGCUGUAAUUUUCCGCUUUCUCAUUUACUGUUCCCAUACAAAUUAUAUAUUGUUUUUUUCAGGACAAAAGGGGCUUUCUUUACAUACCAUUAUUUAUAUAAUCUCAUGUAUUUUAAUUUAAAAAAAAUAAAAAAAUAUGAUGAAAAAUUGAAAAAAAUACAUGUUUUUUGACUUUUACUUGAAAAAUCUUUUACUCAUCUACAAAAGCGAAUGAAAAAAACUGCUAAAUAGAUUCAAAAUUUUGUCCUGAGUUUAAAAAUACCUAGUGUUUACGUGCUUUUUUGCUUUUUUUUGCAUGUUAUAGGGCUAUAGGUACAAGUAGGAUAUUGCGGUUUCAAAACAUACAUUUUAAAAUUUAUCAAUAGUGACAUUGUAACACUAUUAUCUGUCAUAAAUCUCUGAAUAACACCCCACAUGUACAUAUUUUUUUUAAAGUAGACAACCCAGGGUAUUCAAUAUGGGGUAUGUCCAGUCUUUUUUAGUAGCCACUUAGUCGAAAACACUGGCCAAAGUAAGCAUUCAUAUUUGUUUGUGUGUGAAAAAGUAAAAAAACUAAAUUGAACGCUAAUUUUGGCCAGUGUUUGUGACCAAGUGGUUACUAAAAAAGACUGGACAUACCCCAUUUGCAAUACCUUGGGUUGUCUUCUUUUGCAAAUGGUAUGCCAUCAUGGGGUAAUUCUCAUUCCUGGGCUACCAUACGCUCUCAAAGGCAACGUAACCAACCUGGCCAUUUUCAAUGUAAAAAUAUUUGACCCAUAUAUUUGACCUUGUAACUUUCAAAAAUGCUAUAAAACCUGUACAUGGGGGGUACUGUUUUACUCGGGAGACAUCGCUGAACACAAAUAUUAGUGUUUAAAAACUGGAAAACGUAUCACAACAAUUAUAUCAUCAGUAAAACUGCUGUUUGUGUGUGAAAAAUGCAAAAAAAAGUAACUUUCACUGACAAUAUCAUCGCUGUGAUAUGUUUUACUGUUGUGAAUCACUAAUAUUUGUGUUCAGCGAAGUCUCCCGAGUAAAACAGUACCCCCCAUGUACAGGUUUUAGGGUGUCGUAGAACGUUACAGGGUAAAAUACAGUGCUAGCAAAUUAAAUUCUCUGGAAUUUCGGCCUGGGUUGGCAGGCAGGUCCCUCAAAUUGCAAUCAAUAAAAUUACUGAAUUAUGUAAAAAUAUUACAUAAAUACGCACGUAGAAUUUAAAUAUAUAUGCAUAUUUAUAUAUUUGAAGUCUACGUGUAUAUUUAUAUAAUUAUUUAUGUAAUUUUGUAUAUGGACUUAUGUAUAUUUCUUAUUAUUUUUAUUUAUUUUUAUAUACAUAGAUAUAUAUACAAAUUCAUUCUAAGUGUAUUUUGAUAUAAAUAUAUAUAUAUUAAUUUUAAAAUACAGUUAGAAUAAAAUUUCAUAUAGCUAUAUAAUUUUUUUUAAAUUUUUUAUUAUUAUUUAAAAAAAAUGUAUUUAAUUUAAAUUACUUAUUAUUUAUAUUUUAUAAUAAUAUAUAUAUAUAAUAUAUAUAGUUAUUAUAUAUAUUAUAUAUAUACGUGUGUAAUUUAAUUAUAAGUGUAUUUUUAUAUUAAUAUAAGUACAUAUUAAUAUAAAAAUACACUUAGUAUGACAUUAUAUAUAUGAUAUAUAGACAUAUAUUAUAUAGAUAUAAUAUAUGUCUAUAUAUCAUAUAUACACAUAUAUAAUUAUUUUAUUUUUUUUAAUUAACACUAACUUUAUUUUUUUUUUCUGAUUUUACACAAGCAGGGAGACUGCCUGUCAGCACAGACAGUCCCCCUGCAGGCAGACACAUGGACACCUAUUGUGACCAUGUGAUCGCUGUGUUAAGCGAUCACAUGGCCACAGGGGUCCUAAUCUGCCAGUGGGGAGACUGUCUGGGCUGCAGGCAGUCUCCCCACAACCGGAGGAACACUGAUCGCCGCCGGGGGAACGACGGCGAUCAGGUAAGUACCCCCAGACCGUUAGGACGGUUCAGGACCGUCAUCGGUCGGCAAGGCAAAAAUGCCGAUGACGGUCCUGAACCGUCCUCGGUCCUUAAGGGGUUAAGGAUUCAUUGAAUAAAGGCCACAUACGAAAAUCAUCCUCGCCUGCUGGGGCAUAAUUCUUUUUUGUAUCUUAAAAGGACGGUGAGUUGCGCCCAUCGAUUACAGGGCAUUGAACAAUAUCACCAUUAAGAAUGCCUACCCCAUUCCUCUUAUUGCUGAAUUAUUUGAUAGACUCCAAGGCGCUAAAGUAUUUACUAAGCUUGAUCUUAGAAGUUCUUACAAUUUAGUGAGAAUCAAGGAAAACCACGAGUGGAAAACUGCAUUUAAUACCAGAAGUGGACUCUAUGAAUAUCUAGUGAUGCCAUUCGGGUUGUGCAAUGCUCCAGCGGUUUUCCAAGAUUUCAUAAAUUAUGUACUCAGGGAUUACAUUUACGCGUUUGUCUUGGUCUAUCUGGAUGAUAUCCUUAUUUAUUCUCCUGACAUUCAGACUCACCACGAUCACGUUAGACAAGUACUGCAGACCUUGUUAAAGAAUCAACUUUAUUGUAAAUUAGAAAAAUGCAUCUUUGAUCAAUCUGAAGUACAGUUUUUGGGAUAUAAUAUCUCUGCCUCGGGGUUUCAGAUGGAUCCUAAAAAGCUGGAAUCGGUUCUACAAUGGCCUUUACCCACUGGGUUGAAAGCCAUUCAAAGGUUCAUUGGUUUUGUCAAUUAUUACAGAAGGUUUAUAAAGGAAUUUUCUUCAGUAAUAGCCCCCAUCACCAAUAUGACACGCAAGGCGGUUAGCAGUACGAUAUGGUCUAAGGAGGCUAUAAAAGCCUUUGAAACUCUCAAACAGCGGUUUGCCUCCGCUAACAUAUUGAUACAUCCUGACACCAGUAAACCUUUUAUACUGGAAUUUGAUGCAUCAGAGACAUGGGUAGGGGCAGUUCUCUCCCAGAGGGAGAGCCAGGAUACUCCAUUGCAUCCUUGUGGUUACUUCUCUAGAAAGUUGUCUCCUGCCGAGCACAAUUAUGACAUUGUCAAUAGGGAAUUCUCGCUCUCAAGGAGUGGCGACAUCUUUCAGAGGGUUCCAAGUACCCCUUUUGAUGAUGACUGAUCACAAAAACCUGGCUUACAUAGGAGAUGCUAAACGAUUGUCUGUUCCUUUCUCGCUUCAAUUUUCUUAUUACUUAUAGACCUGGUUCUAAAAAUGUCAAGGCCAACGCCUUAUCCAGACAGUUUGAAACUGAGUCUAUACAUUCCCCCUGAAUGUAUCAUUGCUGCCACUAUCCUUUCAUUGUCCUCUCCGCUGCUUGGCUCCAUCAUGGAGGCUUAGUCUCAGGCGCCCUGCGGUAAACCUCAGGACAAAUUGUUCGUUCCAUUGGGGAAAAGGGUUAAUAUCAUGAAGGUGUUUCACGACAAUGUGUCUGCUGAUCACCCAGGUAUUAAUAAAUUCACUUCUGCUAUCAUGAGGUCAUUCUGGUGGGAUUCCCUCAGGAAGGAUGUUAAGGAGUAUGUACAGGCUUGUUCUGUUUGUGCGGUUUCCAAAGUACCUCAUAAACUCCCUUGUGGCUUGUUACAACCUCUUUCCGUUCCUGAGGUCCCAUGGUCCCACUUGUCUAUGGAUUUCAUUGUAGAACUUCCUAGUUCUAAUGGUUAUACCACUAUUCUCAUGGUUGUUGACUGUUUUUCUAAAAUGGCUCACUUUAUCCCUCUCAAGAAAUUACCGUCAUCUCAAGACCUGGUACUGAUCUUUAUACGUGAGAUUGUCCGUCUGCAUGGCAUUCCUCACAAUAUUGUAUCUGAUAGAGGUUCUCAGUUUGUAUCCCAGUUUCCCAUUGAAUUGUCUUUUUCAUCCUCUUACCACCCCCAGACUAAUGGUACAGCUGAGAGGGCUAACCAGUCUUUGGAGUUAUACUUGCGUUGUUUCGUUAAUAGCACUCAAGACAAUUGGUCCAAAUUAUUACCAUGGGCCGAGUUUGCUAGGAACAAUGCUGACCAUGACUCCUCUGGGCAUAGUCCAUUUUUUGUUAAUAAUGGCUGGCAUCCUACUGUCCUACUGGCUGUUUUUUCUGAUACGACUAUUCCUGCUUUGGAUGACCGUCCAUCCGUGAUACCUGGGUUAAAGUUCAAUUUGCUCUGGGUACUGCUGCUGACCGUUUAAGGCAUUUUGCUGAUACACGUCGAGGUGCCAACCCUGUUUACCAAGUGGGUGAGAGGGUUUGGUUAUCUUCUCGUAACAUCAGGCUCAAAAUCCCUAGCAUGAAAUUUGCUCCUAAGUUCCUUGGACAUUUUUUCGUGUCCUUUGUAGGAUCAAUCCUGUUGCGUACUCUCUGGCCCUUCCAGGCUCCUUGAAAAUUCCUAAUACCUUUCAUGUGUCCUUGCUCAAACCUCGUUUGCAAUAAAUAUACUGUCUCAAGUGUCCCUCCUCCUCCCUUAGUUGUUUCGGGACAGGAAGAGUAUGAGGUCUCCUCCAUAAUUGAUUCCAGGUUUUCUUGGGGCACUUUAUAGUACUUGGUGGAUUGGAAAGGUUAUGGACCAGCCGAUCGUUCUUGGUUUCUGGCAUCUGAUAUACAUGCUGGCCGCAAGAUUCGCUUUUUUCACGCCAAAUUUCCUCUCAAGCUUGGUCCUGCCGGCCCGGUGGGCAUUUUUCAUGUGGGGGGUAAUGUCACGUAUUCAUCCGCUUAUAAAAAUGUGGUUAAUGGCAUUUACUGUCCACACAGGUAAAGUUGUGCCGAGCAGCCACCAAAUCCACAGAAGGGUUAAUCCUGAGCAGCAAUUAUGCAAAUGGGAACCUGGUAACUGCCUUUGGGGUCAAAGGCCAGGUUACAGCCUAUCAGAUCUAGAGGAGGGGUAUUUAGGCCCAGUUCUCAUCCUGCUCAGUGCCCUUUCGUGGUUUCCCUUGUGGUUUUCCGAGAGCGCGUUAUUGAUUCUGGUAAUUCUGGUUAUUUGACUUUGGCAUUGUAUUUGACUUCCCUGUUUUCUGGCAUCCCUGACUCCUGGCUUUUCCUUAUCGUUGUGUCUCUUUCUGUUUCCCUUGACCUCGGCUAUUCCUGACUAUUCUUUGGUACGUUAGUCUGGCCAUUCUAAGGUCUGGUAUACGUUACCUAUCAGUCCUCUGUGUUACACAAUUCUACGUGCUGGAUCAUUCUGUAAUCCUGACAGUUACUUACUUUUGCCUGAUGUCCUAGUAGACCAUUGAUGUCCAAGUAGACCAUUUAACCCACUCAGAGCGCAUGCACAUGGGCUCUCUCUCAGUAAGUAGAGGGCAAGAGGGAAUAAGGAGGGAAGGGAAAUAAAAAAAAAACAAUAACAUAGGGUAUAGGUAGAUAGGGAGCACUUUAGUGAAGGAGGAAAGGAAGGCAAAUGCCUCUCCUAGCAGGCUCUGCAUGCAAGGGAGAAUCUGAUUGCAUCUGAUGAUGUCAGACAUAGUUUUUGCACAGAAAUGAGAUUAGAACUGAACUGAAUUCAGGCCAGAACUGAAUUCUAGGUUGCCAAAAUCACUUGUGCUUGGGAGUGCUUUUUUAUUUUUUUAUUUUUUUUAGCAGAAUACAGUUGUUUUAAAAAAAAUAAAAAACUAUUUUUUCAAUUACAGAGACUCACUGUGACACAUCAACAUUAUAAGAUUUGUGCAAAAGCCACAUUGCUGUAUAUACAACGUUGUAUAUAUGAUACAGAAAGGAAAAAUAUGUAGAUAAAAUGUGCAUUAUGCAUUAUACAAUAGUGAUUGGCUUGUUCCCAGUAUGUCAAAGUUUUUCGUAUUAAUAGAAAAAGAAAACUGGCUCUGCGAUACCGGAGGGGUUGGGUCCCCACUCUUUGUUCAGGUGAAACUGGGGUGGAUGUUAUGGGGAUUGGGGUGGGUGGGUGGGUGGAAAAAAGAGGUUCACUGUCACAUCCAAUGUGUAUAAUAAUUUAUUCCUCAUACUGUUCCCAUAGCUCCCAUACUUUGGUAAAAGUAUCGGUGGUAUUGUGGAAUUGUGCCAUUGCUCUUCAUGCUGCUUGGUAGAUCAUAUUUAAUAAUUUUUGAUCAUGCCUAUUAAGGCUGUCGGUGGGUCUGGAAAGAAGGCACCCCUAUGGGUCGAGCUCCAUUCGUCUUUGGUCUACCACUCUUCUCUAGAAUUACCCCACACGUGGGCAUUGCCACCACAUGUAUAUAGCUUACCUUAUCCCCGCAGAGGUGCCAACAGGUAUCAGUGGGACUUAGUUUCAAGUGACAUUGCUAAACCAGUGUUGUAUACCAUCUAAAUAAUGUUUUGUAGAAUGUUUUUUGGCAUUGUUCUUGUAACAGUACACAACUUUAGCACCAUAUACACUUCUAAGCACAAGUGGUCAUGGUGGUUGGAGACACCCUUUAAUCAUGCACAGAACUGGGAUAAAACACUACACUGAACAUACCAAUAUUGCAGUCUGUAUAUGACUGUGUAUAUUAUUGUGUAUAUGUGACUGUGUGUGUUGUUGUGUGUCUUAGUAUGUAUUUAAUUGUGUUAGUCUUUGUAUGCAUGUGACUGCAUGUCUAUAUAUGUGCAGAACUAAUUAAAUAACUAAUUGUAUAAGUGAUGGUAAAAUAGUAAACAGGGAGGGUAGGCACACACUUGGCUGGGCCUAGAAAAUAUAUCAGCUUUUAAGAUAAUCAGCUCUAAAAAAUAUUAUUAUUAUUAUUAUUAUUUUUAAAACUAUAUUCACCUCUAAGUUAAUCAUAGAAAACAAUAAAAAUCUACAGGCACUCACGGAAUUAAAGCCAGAGGAAGAUUUAUUGGAUAAAAAAAGAUUCAGCAACAUUUCGACCUACCAAGAGGUCUUUAUCAAGCUUGACAAAGACCUCUUAUUAGGUCGAAACGUUGCUGCAUCUUAUUUUUAAUCUUUUUUUUUUAUCCAAUAAAUCUGCCUGUGGCUUUAAUUCCAUGAGUGCAAUAAUUGAAGCUAUACAUGUUGUAUUUCUUUUAGUAGAAUGUCAUGUAGUCAAUACUUUAGUUAAAGCUUAACAGAUGGGGCCCAUACAGCGUGACAAAGAGAAAUGUUGUUUUUUGGAGUAUUAGAGAAAGUCAUGACCACAAUGGGUAGUUUAUGACAGUCAAUUGAUAUCAAUGACAUCAAGAAGUUCUGUGAGGAUGAAUUGGCCAAAUUAUCUCCAAGCCAAUGUGAAAAGUUGAACAGAAAUAGGAUGAGUUUGGGUGGCAAUUAUAGACCUGCAAGCUUAACUUCUGUGUCUGGGAAAGUAUUUGAAAGCUUAUUUAGGGACAAUAUGCACGAAUUCAUUGAGAAGAACAUUGUUGUCAACAAAAAUCAGCAUGGUUUUAUGAAACAUAGGUCAUGUCAAUCUAACCUGAUUGCAUUCUGUGAAGAAGAAAGUAAAAGUAUUCUUUUACUUUCUUCUUCAUCAGGGUGUUGCAAUGGAUGUGAUAUACUUGGAUUUUACCAAGGCGUUUAAUAUGGUUCCACACAACAGGUUAGUGUUCAAAUUUAAAGAAAUCAGUCUAAAUGAAAAUUCUUGUUCUUGGGUAGAACAUUGGCUUCAAAAUAGAGUACAGAGAGUUGUCAUUAAUGGUAUAUUUCCAAGCUGGACAAUAGUGAUAAGUAGUGUCCCUCAGGACAAAACCCCCACCUUUUCUGGGACCACUUCUAUUUAACAUAUUUAUAAAUUAUCUUUAAAUAAGAAUUGAAAGUAAGUGUUUGCAGAUGACACAAAACUCUGUAAAGUAAUACAAUGUGAGCAAGAUAUUACUUUGCUGCAGAAGGAUUUAGAUAGACUGGGGGACUGGCAGAUUGCAGAUACAAUUUAAUGUAGAAAAACGCAACGUUAUGCACCUCAGGGUAAAGAAUGCGCAAGCAACUUAUACCCUAAAUGGUCAUGAGUUAGGGAUACCCACACAUGAGAAGGAUUUGGGAAUUGUUAUAGACAACAAACUAGGCAACAAUGUGCAAUAUAAAGGCCAGUAAGGUAUGUAUAAAAAGGGCCAUUAAUUAUCUGACUUACACGUACUGGCUAUUGGAGUGUUACUAAAAAAACCUCCAGUUAUUUAAAUAUACAUAGGGAUUUGGGAUAGUGCGCAAGUUACUUUUUUCUUUCCAGGAGUAGUGGGAGUCUCAGUGCCAGACUUAUUUUUGUGUAUUUGUAUUUGCUUUUGUAUGACACAGCCAUAUUACAGUGCUGCCGCCCACAUCAUGUGUUCCCUAUUAAGUAUGUAGGGGUUUAGAAAAACACCCCUCUCUCUCAUUUGAAGCUGAAGGAAGCAAGGUGAAUUAUUAGUGUAGGACACACCUAAGUUUGCCUUCACGUGGCAGGCGGGCUUACACCUAAUGGUCAUUGGAGUGUUACUAAAAAAAACUCUAGUUAUUUAAAUAUGCAUAGGGAUUUGGGAUAGUGUGCAAGUAAUUGUUUUCUUUGAGAAUAAAUUGUGCCUCUUUAUAAAUCACUGGUAAGAUCAUCCUGAAUAUGCUCUGGAAUUUUGGACACUGGCUCUAAAGAAGGAUAUUAUGGCACUAGAAAGUUCUGAGACAGGUUAUAACAUUAAUAAAAAUAAAAUUUUAGUUAUAAAGAAAGGUUAACAAAUGUAAAUAUCUUUAGUGUAGAAAAGCAGAGGGGAUAUGAUAGUAUUAUACACAUAUGUUCGGGGCCAAUACAAAUGAUUGUCUAGAAAUCUAUUCACAAUCAGGACUAUACAUAGGACAUGAGGUCACAUUUAGACUGGAAGAAAGGAGCUUUAGUCUAAGGCAAAGGAAUGUUUUUUUUCACAGUAAGAACAAUAAGGAUAUGGACUUCUCUGCCUGUAGAAGUGGUUUUAUCAGAGUCUGUACAGUUGUUUAAACAGCAACUGGAUGCAUACUUGCAAAAACAUAAAAUUCAGUUAUAUAAUUUUUAAAUUGUGGGGUAACAGCUUCUUGAUUCAAGAAUACAUCUGACUGCCAUUCUGGGGUCAAAAAGGAUUUUUUUCCUAGUUGGUUGUAAAAUUGUCCGUGCUUCAAACUGGGGGUUUUAGCCUACUUUGGGAUCAACAGCAAAAAACAGAUAUGAGAAACUUAAUUCACCCAUGUCUAUUUUCAGCCUAUGUAACUAUAACUGCUGAUGGGGAAGGAGCGAAAAGUUACUAAAUUUGAAAGUGUUAGAUCAGUGUCUUUUGUAAAGAAAUGAAAAGUAGGAUUAAUUUAUUUAUAUGUAUUUAUUGCUAUCUCUUGAUGCUAUUCUCAAUUAAUUUUACUUCUACAGUGACGGGUGUUUUCCCUAUGAUGUGGCAAUGGUGGCUGGAAAUAGGUAAUGCUGGCAUUAACAGGAAGUAUCUCUGAUUAAACGAAACUCGCCAUUUGUUAUUUAUUUGAGUAUACUAGUCAAAAAAAUAAUAAGUAUUAAGGCUAGAGCCAGAUAAGCGUCACCCACGGCUCUAGGAAGGAAGAAAUAUUGGCGCCUUAGGCUCUGUUUCUGUGAGUGGUGUUGACUGAGUGUUGUGUGAGAGUGUGUGCUCAUUGAGUCACUGAGUUUGGAGGAGGGUGAGAACUAUGAGAAGGUACUGCGUGUCUCUGCAUGUGCCGGCUAACUGUUUUGUGUUUUUGUAGGGAAGUCUGGGUGUGUUGUGGUGUGUGUCUCCCCUUCGUUUGUGCUUAUGUUUCCUAAUGGCCCAGUGAUGUGUGAGCAGAAUCUCUGGUAGUCCAGUGGUGGAUGAACUGGAUCCCUGUAGGAGCUCCAUGGUUUGAAACAAGUGGUUCUGUCACCCUCUCUUCCAAAAUGAGUAUUUCAUAAAGACAGCAUCUUUAUAAAAUACUCAUAUUGACUGUGUUGAAAUUUCAACUUCAAACACAGUCAAGAGAUAUACUGAGACAAAGUAUUUACUUUGUCACAGUAUUUUUCCUACUUUUGACAAAUGGCAAAGCUACCUUUUGUCAAGCUUGUCAUUUACACCUGCUGUCACUAAUGAUGGCUGUAUGGAAAAAAGCUCUUUUUAUGGAGGAACCCACGGUCUCCUCCAUAUACUUAAAUUCUGUACUCCAUAUACUUCAUGUACUUAAAUGACGAGACUACAUCGCUGAAGUCGGCUCUUGGCAACGCCAGCGCCAAGAGCUGAAGAGGAUCGAAUGGAAAAGAAUGGCGGUGCCCACAAGGGACAGGUUCAGGUGAGUAAAAUCUACUUUUUCUUGUCCCCAUGGUCACACCAUCAAUUAUGCAAAGGCCUAAACGGUGUCAGAGCCGCUUUAACCACACUCUUAGUAUUUUAUGAAAUAUAUUUAUUUUAUUAUUUGUUUUCUAUAAAACUAUGUUUUUAUUCUACUUCGACUUUCUGAUUUUAUCCCUUCAGAUUUUAUCUGAAGGAUUCACAUUUUAUUUCAUGGGUGGGGAAUAAACCACAUGCUGUUUUGGGAGCAAAACUCUUUUUGCUCUCUUUUCGUAUGUAUACCUCCUUCUAUUCUAUUUUUUUAUUGCAUUAAUACAUAAAGCACUAUUUCUGUUUUAUUUCUAAUCCAUAUACCGGUGAAUUUCCUCUUCUACAACACUGUGCACUGAAGGAGAACACUCUCAACGCUUACUAUCAAAAGCUACUUACUGGCUUUGGAACAUUUUUUUAACAAAGGACCAAGACCAUCAGCAUAUCCAUAGGCAGGGAUUGUACUAUCCAAGCACACAUAUCUGGAGCUGAUUAUAAGAGUCAGAAGAUUGUGUUAUUUCUCUGCAAAUGGAUAUACUAAACUAUAUUUUGUUCCUUUGUUAUCUUAUCUUUCAUAUUGUUUCACCCCUACUUGGAUUUGGGGAUACUCUAAAGACGCUGCUUCCAUGCUCCCCUUUCCCAGACAGUAUCUACUUAUGGCCAGAAAGAAGAGACUCUGGUUUGGGGAGUUGAAGCUGCCAUACUUGUAUAUAACAAGAGCAUGAAAUCUCAUUCUUUUAUCUUUUUGAAACGAGAACCUCUAGUUUAUUCAGAUGUUAAAUAGUGGAAAUUAUAGAGUUUUACUUUCUUGUGGUUGUGCACAUCUACAAUGGAGGGUGAUACAUUAUGCCCUUAUUUGGUAGUAAUUUCUGCAUUAUGUUUUUAUAAAAAAUUAUGACCUAAAGAAACACUCAAAGCAAAAUAAUCAUUACAGCCUGUUGUAUGUCGGGAUAAGACUUAAGAUUUGGGGGGGCCCUGCUUGAUUCAGGACUGGUAGGAGAUAUUGAUAAUAUUUUAGUUCAAUUUUGGAGCGCUCUGAUAAUCUAGAUUUAAUGAAACUUAGAGUUGGUAUGAAUUGUUAUAUACCGCUCGUAAUACACUUAAUGUGUUGUACCUCCAACACACAAAACAAAAAUCAAAAGGAAACAAAUGUAAAUAAGAGUGGAGCAGUAUACUGAAAAUGGCGGCUUAGGUGAAAAACCCAGGACCAAGUAUAAAUUGUGAAAAAUUAAAAAAUGUUGUAGUAAUACUCAAUGAUCAGUAGAUGGCCCCAAGAUGACAGAUUAAAUACCCUGUAUGAAGAUGGCAGCGACAGCAUCACAUCCUAAGGAAGACGGGCAGACCAGAGAACGCGUUGACGUCAUUGAAGGGGUGCAGACUACAGGAGCUCAGUAAGAAUCACGCUCAUAUUGUUCGUGCUGCACUGAAACCGGGUCACUGCAUUUCAGACGUUACAGCUAUCUAGAGCCAGCGUCUCCAGCUCCAACAUCUGAUAUAUUUUGACAAAGCUUGGCAAUGAGUAAUGGCGUAUGCCGAGCCUACUCACCACUUUCUCUUGUAAGAGACAGUUUACUUUUUAAUAUCACUUUGUUUUUAAUAAAUCUAUUUGCACUUUGUAAAUAUAAUUGAGAAAUAUAAUUUCCUUAACCGCGUAAGGACCAAACUUCUGGAAUAAAAUGGAAUCAUGACAUUUCACACAUAAUGUGUCUUUAAGGGGUUAACCUAAUUAUCUGGGUAACUUUUAUGGGAAUCUUGGUAUAUUAAUAUAUGAUGUUAAAGCAUUAUUCAUUUGAAGCAAUCUGCACUAUUAUGUGUAUUUAUGCAUUUUCUCCAUAUGUGCUGUGAGAGGUGUCGUCUUGGGGCCAUCUACUGAUCAUUGAGUAUUACUACAACAUUUUUAAUUUUUAACAAUUUAUACCUGGUCCUUGGUUUAUCACCUAGACGGCCAUUUUCACUAUACUGCUCCACUCUUAAUUACAUUCUUUUCCAGGUAGGAGAUAUGCCAAUCUUACAUACAACACUGCCAACAGGUAUGUAUCGCAGUGCCAUAAAGGAAGUGUUCAAGAGGAUAAGUCAAAAGUUUUUGUUUGUUUUUUUACCUGCGGUGUAUUAGAAUUAUACCUUCUAAUUCUUUAAUUUCAUGGGCUGCAAGAGAAACCAAUUUGACUUAUGCUCCUGCAUAUCUAACAUCUCUUGUAUUGCAGGCUGUGGAUUAAUCCUUAUUGUUGGAUCAGGCCAGACUCUUGCUCAUUUCACAAUCCGGUCAUCAAGCAAACAUCCCUUGAUGCGUUAUGAUAACUAUGCAUAGAUUCUCCAUCUCAGUACACAGUAAGUGAUCAAAGGUAAUCAGAUCUAGUUCUUAGAUUAAAGGAACACUAUAGUCACCUAAAUUACUUAAGCUAAAUAAAGCAGUUUUAGUGUAUAGAUCAUUCCCCUGCAAUUUCACAGCUCAAUUCACUGUCAUUUAGGAGUUAAAUCACUUUGUAUCUGUUUAUGCAGCCCUAGCCACACCUCCCCUGGUUAUGACUGACAGAGCCUGCAUGAAAAAAAACAAAAACUGGUUUCACUUUCAAACAGAUGUAAUUUACCUUAAAUAAUUGUAUCUCAAUCUCUAAAUUGAACUUUAAUCACAUACAGGAGGCUCUUGCAGGGUCUAGCAAGCUAUUAACAUAGCAGGAGAUAAGAAAAUCUUAAUUAAACAGAACUUGCAAUAAAGAAAGCCUAAAUAGGGCUCUCUUUACAGGAAGUGUUUAUGGAAGGCUGUGCAAGUCACAUGCAGGGAGGUGUGACUAGGGUUCAUAAACAAAGGGAUUUAACUCCUAAAUGGCAGAGGAUUGAGCAGUGAGACUGCAGGGGCAUGUUCUAUACACCAAAACUGCUUCAUUAAGCUAAAGUUGUUCAGGUGACUAUAGUGUCCCUUUAAUGUUUCAGGCAACCACAAGGUUUGGUGCACUGUAUUGGUUAGGUCUCUAUUAGAGUUCAAGGGAAACAAAUAUGUAGCUGGCAACUCCAAAAAAACAUUUGUUUUGUUAGAAUGAGAUUGCCUUAAGGUUAAGACACCUUGAAAAGUUAUCUGAGUUUGAAAUGUGUUGAUUUUUAGAUUUUCACAAACCUAAAUCUUUUGAUCGUCAUAUAGCUAUAGGAAAUGUGGAGAUCAAUGAAAGUAUAUGGAUUAGUGUUGGGUCUAGCUGCAAGCUUCUUCAUUAUAUAAGCAAUGUAUAGUCUUAAAGGGACACUAUAGUCACCAUAGUCAUACAGCUUAAUGUAGGGGUUCUGGUGUCUAUAGCCUGUCCCCAAAGGCUUUUUAAUGUAAAUGCUGCCUUUUCAGAUAAAAGGCAGCAUUUACAUUAUUGCCUAGUGACACUCAGAUGGCCAAUAGAGGUGCUUUCUGGGUCACUGCUGCACAAUGUGCAGCAUUGACAUUCAAGGUCUCCACACACGGCAUGGAGUCGCUGAAUGUUCCUCAUAGAAAUGUAUUGAUUUGAUGCAUCUCUAUAAGGAGAUGCUGAUUGGCGCAGCACAGUGUUUUGCUGCACAUGUGCAAUAUCCUGUCAUAGGAAAGCAUUGGAUUGACUGAGAUAAUCAAGUUUGAUGAUUUCAGUCAAGGAGGCAGAAUGUGGGUGGGGCCAGCCGUCAGACGGAAGAAAGUGAAGUAAUCUCACCUUUCACUUAGCUGUCAGGGACCUAAAUUGUGUUUUUAGGACUAUAGUGACAACAAUACAUGUUUUUAUUCCUGUCACUAUAGUGUUCCUUAAAGACUUCAAGGUUUAUUUGACCUAUAAAAGAGGUUGACAUUGUUUUCUCCUGUUUUGACCUUGCAUGUUAUCUGCCCUCACUUGUCACUUUUUAAACAGAUCAGUCAGGAUGAGGAGAGACUCUGUGCCAGAAUAUAAAGGACAUACCUUAUUGGGGCUACAAAAAGUUCAUAAGGGCAACACUUUCUAAGACAACAGGACCAGAAGUCAGAAUGGAGAGAAUUGGACAGAUGCUCAGAAACAGAAUAUUCAGUGAUGAUUGAAACAAAAGGCUCAGGAAAGGGGAUCUUAAGAAUGCAGAACCACUCCACAAACCAUCACAAAAGGAAGUGAGACUCCUUUCAACACUCCUCACUCAAACUUCCUCCUUAUUUGUAAACAAACAUUUCAUUGCACUAAAGAAGUGUGUAACUUGUCCCUUGAAAAAGGCAUUGGUUAAUGCCAAACAGUGGCGGUAGGAUUGUUGACUGCUCCCUGGUAAGCUUCAGUUUUAAUUGUAUAGUUGGCUGUAUUAUUUUGUGCAAGUUUUUUUUUACACUUCUUGUCAAGGCAGCCAUCAGAAAUCUUGGGGCCCUAACACAGCUCAAGAUCUGGGUCCCUGAGAGCACAUCCACAAGGAUGCUGUGUCUGUAAAGUGAAUAUAGGGUGUGUUUGUGUAUUGUAUGCAGUGUAUGUAAAGUGGACACAGUGUGUGUUUGUGCAUGUUUGACACACAGAUACAAACACUCAUACACAUUGACCUAGAAUACAUGCACGGACACACAAACAUACAUACAAACACACGUAGCUCAUUUUUCAGCCACCCUCCUGUUUCUUACCUUUUUGGUGCAGGAGGGUGGCUGGGGCUGAUGGGAGUCAGCUGGCUCCAUUCUGCCUUUCCUCCCUAUCGCAGGCAGUAAGCUGGGAGAAAGUGACAGGCUGUAAAAAUGGCAGCAGUACUUGCGGUUGCCAUUUUUAGAGGGGCCUGGUCGUGCUACUACACGACCGCAGCACAGCACUUAGGGCCACCUGAUGGGCGUAUACCUUCACGGGUUCCCUGAAGGUAUAUGCCCAUUGGGUGGCCCUAAGUGCAUGGGCCACCUGAUG